UACGUAGGUGGCAAGCGUUGUCCGGAUUUGCUGGGUGUAAAGGGCGUGCAGCCGGGAAGACAAGUCAGAUGUGAAAUCCCGCGGCUCAACCGCGGAACUGCAUUUGAAACUGUUUUUCUUGAGUACCGGAGAGGUCAUCGGAAUUCCUUGUGUAGCGGUGAAAUGCGUAGAUAUAAGGAAGAACACCAGUGGCGAAGGCGGAUGACUGGACGGCAACUGACGGUGAGGCGCGAAAGCGUGGGGAGCAAACAGG
rnacentral:rRNA from 1 species